rnacentral:rRNA from 1 species
UACGUAGGCAGCAAGCGUUGUUCGGAAUUACUGGGCGUAAAGCGCGUGUAGGCGGCUUUGCAAGUCGGGUGUGAAAGCCCUCAGCUCAACUGAGGAAGUGCGCCCGAAACUGCAGAGCUUGAGUGCCGGAGAGGGUGGCGGAAUUCCCCAAGUAGAGGUGAAAUUCGUAGAUAUGGGGAGGAACACCGGUGGCGAAGGCGGCCACCUGGACGGUAACUGACGCUGAGACGCGAAAGCGUGGGGAGCAAACAGG